GAUGAACGCUGGCGGCGUGCCUAAUACAUGCAAGUCGAGCGAACGGACGAGAAGCUUGCUUCUCUGAUGUUAGCGGCGGACGGGUGAGUAACACGUGGAUAACCUACCUAUAAGACUGGGAUAACUUCGGGAAACCGGAGCUAAUACCGGAUAAUAUUUUGAACCGCAUGGUUCAAAAGUGAAAGACGGUCUUGCUGUCACUUAUAGAUGGAUCCGCGCUGCAUUAGCUAGUUGGUAAGGUAACGGCUUACCAAGGCAACGAUGCAUAGCCGACCUGAGAGGGUGAUCGGCCACCCUGGAACUGAGACACGGUCCAGACUCCUACGGUAGGCAGCAGUAGGGAAUCUUCCGCAAAGGGCGAAAGCCUGACGGAGCAACGCCGCGUGAGUGAUGAAGGUCUUCGGAUCGUAAAACUCUGUUAUUAGGGAAGAACAUAUGUGUAAGUAACUGUGCACAUCUUGACGGUACCUAAUCAGAAAGCCACGGCUAACUACGUG
rnacentral:rRNA from 1 species